rnacentral:rRNA from 1 species
UACGUAGGGGGCUAGCGUUGUCCGGAAUCAUUGGGCGUAAAGAGCGUGUAGGCGGUCCGGUAAGUCCGCUGUGAAAGUCGGGGGCUCAACCCUCGAAUGCCGGUGGAUACUGUCGGGCUAGAGUGCGGAAGAGGCGAGUGGAAUUCCUGGUGUAGCGGUGAAAUGCGCAGAUAUCAGGAGGAACACCGAUGGCGAAGGCAGCUCGCUGGGACGGUACUGACGCUGAGGCGCGAAAGCGUGGGGAGCAAACAGG